rnacentral:lncRNA from 1 species
CAAGCAGGCCCUGGGGAGACAGCACGGAUGGAGAGCAGCAGAGGCAAUCAGGGAAGUGUGGCAAUGAGAGCUUAAGAGAGAGUAUGCCUGAGUGUGGCAGGAUAUGCAAGCAAUAAUAAUGCUGCUGGUUAUCGCAGCCCUGUGUCCUCUGAUGGAGAGAGACUCCACCUUGGACGUGGUGGGGGAUGUGGAACAGGCCACACACUGUCCGCAUCAGC